GUGAAAGCCCACGGCUCAACCGUGGAAGCGCAUUUGAAACUGGCAGGCUUGAGUACCCNAGGGGAAAGUGGAAUUCCCGGCGUAGAGGUGAAAUUCGUAGAUAUCGGGAGGAAUACCGGUGGCGAAGGCGACUUUCUGGCUGGAUACUGACGCUGAGACGCGAAAGCGCGGGGAGCAAACAGGAUUAGAUACCCUGGUAGUCCGCGCCGUAAACGAUGUGAACUGGAUGCAGGGGGUGUUGAUCCCCUCUGUGUCGCAGCCAACGCGCUAAGUUCACCGCCUGGGGAGUACGGCCGCAAGGUUAAAACUCAAAGGAAUUGACGGGGGCCCGCAC
rnacentral:rRNA from 1 species